rnacentral:lncRNA from 1 species
AGCUUCAAUAUUCUCUCUCUUAAUUUAAUCUCACUUUUUUCUGUCCGUCAUCUUAUUAAGAUUGUUUUGUUCUGAUGAUUAUUUGGCAGACCUGGGUCACUUAUGUUAAUUGAUUUUUUUUCUUGUAUUAAAGCUUUGAAUGUUAGGCUCUUUGACAUUGCACAUAUGAUAAAAAAAGUAUUACAUAAUGACUUGGAUAUAAAAUGAUUUCCAUUCCAGUUUUGACAUGGGCCUGUUAAACUAUGUCGUCUUGGAAAAAACAAAAAGUUCUUUUACUUGAAAGUUGUCUAUUUUGUUCUGCUGUGCAAAAUAUUUGAUUCUGGGUAAUUUCUGUCCCGACAAAAAGAUAGCAACAUGGGAACAGUCCAAAUUCCUCGUCCCUUCGGCUUGGCUCUGCUUCCUGUUGGAGUGAAUCUGUGAAGAAAAGGCUAACCCUUUUCUUUAGGGUAUUGAGGAUCAUUUUUGAGAGAUUAAGGAAUACAUGCAAACCAAAUACAAUUAAUGAAUAAGACCAACAAAUACCGGCAAUGUUUCAGGGAAAAAGUCCAAAACCAAUUUUCUAAACCAAAUUCAGGGGAAGGGCAAUAGAUGGAGUUGCUCUGGAAGAAGACUUUUUAGGCCAUAGUCAGUGGGCUUUGGGGUUUUAUCACCAGAGAAAUUGUGAUAUAUAUAAAUAUAUAUAUAUAUGUAUUGUAUAUAUCUGAUGAUUUAAUGAAGAUAAUUAUGCAGUGGGGGGAGGGGAUUUUAUUCUCAUAAAGCCAUUUUUUUAUUCUUGCUUCAUUCGUGAUAGAGUUUUAACACUCCUUGACAUUCUGAGAAAUGCACACAUUUUUGUAUUAGCAGAGUCAUAACUGUGCAGAAUUACACAACAAAAAAAAUGACAUCUGAUCGAGGAACCUGGUAUUUAUGGUAAAAUACUGUAAAAUAAAUUUCUCCCUGACAAAGGAUUUUAACCUUAAAGAACCAGUAUUAUUUUUAUUUGACAAACCAUUACAUGUUUUUUCCUCUCCAACAGAAAAAUGCUUUUUUUUCCUAAAGAAUGUCACAGCGCUAGUUAUAUUAUGUACGUUUCUGAAGCACAUAACUGGAAAUCUGUAUCAAGGCAUACUGUAAGUAGGAUUUGCACAUACAAAGUCUAUAAAGUCUAUAAAUACAGACACACAGAAAACUGCCUAAAUUAUGAUAACAUGAUACAAAUAAGAGUAUGAUCACAUAGUUUGUAAACAUAAAUGGAUAGUAAGGUCACACUUUUAAAAGAGGGCCAAAACUCAACACAAAAGAGCACAAGUUACUGCUAAAAUGAUAUCAUAGAAAAUUAGAGUUUUGAAAAUGUGUGGAAAGAGUUUUUACCAAUCUGCAACAUCAUCAAUGAAAUUUCACAGUGUUUAAUUUCAAAACAAGAUUUUGGUUUUCAAAUAUAGUAUCCCAACAUUCAAUCAUAUUUGACCAAUAAAAUAUGGCAGCUUGGAAACCGUUCAAUCUAGUUCUAAUACUUUUUGCCAAGAUAAUCAAAAAAGUUUUAGAUUUUGUUUUAUUUGGCAUUUUCAACUUCACACAAUGUGAAUUUGUUGUACACGUCAAUUAAUGUGAAAGAUAUAACAAUAUUUGGCAAAGCAGUCAAUGUUGGUGGCUUAUGGCAAAACCAUCCAGAACACUUCAGAUCUCUAAAGUUCACAGGGUUGGGCCUGCUAGUACUUCGAUGGGAAUUUUGCAAAUUUUGGAAAUGAUUAUUUUUCAAACAGCCGCUGCUUUUAAAUAAACUUUCUUCUGAGAGCAAUUCAUCAAGAAAAAAUCUGUAGCCUCCUUGUGCCAAAGUGACAGUAAAACCAGACAAAGGAACCAUUAUCAGGAAGACUGGCUGGCUGGCUGGAGAAUUACUGCUGCUGUUAACCCAAAAUCACACUUAACAGUCAAAGCACUCAACAUAAUUACAUAUGCCAGAAACACAAUAUCAACUAACUUGUAUGUGCAUAACUGCAAAGAUAAGGAGUUGUUUUUUUUCCAGUUUAGACAUAGUUUGAAUUUUGUCCAAGUACCCAGAAAAGAAAGCAAAGAUGUAAGAUAAUAGUAUUGGAUCUUUAUGAACUUGGUGCUACUGUGGUUUGAAUUAAAAACACCAUUAUCAAAGACCUACAGCUAACAUUACAUUUUUGAUCAUCCUCAGUAUGUGAAUCAGUGUAUGGUUGAAAAUAUACACCCCUACUUUUGUAAAUCCUUUUAUUUGCCUAUUGAAGAGGGAUGGGUGGGUUUUGUUUUUAAGCAGUGAUUUUAAAAAGACUUGAUGCUAUGCUUUAAGUUGGUGUACAUUUGUUUGUGCUUUACAAAGGUAGCUGUAAGAUGCUUUUAAUGGCCAUGGACUCUUUGAUAGACUGACUGUCAGUGCAGUAUUUUUGCAGUUUAAGCCAUGUCAUGAUGCUGUGGCAUGGUGGCACUUAUGAUGUCACACUAUGUCACUAGGAUGUUGUAAGAUCACAGUGACAAUUAUAAUGAAUGCUGUUAGAUGUAGUUAUGCAGACAUUUUUUGUGAAUUUAAUCAAUAAAGAUUAUUAAAUGUUCUCAGCUUUCAUUGUUUUUCCUUUGUUUUAUUUUUAUAAAUACAAAUGUGUGUAGGUUUAUAUUGCACAGUAUAUGUUGUUGGACGGUCUAUAUACACCUUUAAAGGCCCAAUAUUAUGCAAAAUUCACUUUAGAAUGGUUUUCUAACACUAAUAUGCAUCCCCAGUCUGUCUACAAACCCCCCUCUCCCUCUCUUGCUUGUUCCACCUUUAAGAAAAUAUUUGCUCAAAGGGGCGGAUUCAAACCAUCACCCUCCAUGAUGUCAUGGACGGCGAUAACUCCUCCCCUUUCAGGACCCUGCCCAAGAUGUUUGUUCUGCCCUCUGAAAAUUUCCACUCAGACACUAUUUUUCUCCCUCACAAACGCUGGUUCAAAAUGGGGAGGGUAUGAGCAAGGCAAGGCAGUUGCUUUGUUGUUGGCUGCACGAAGCAGCACAGAAGUCUGUUUCCAUAGACUGCAAGAACAUCGUCACGAGAUAAGGUCAAGAGAUAACUAGAAAAAUUGCAUUUCCUUGCAGAAAAUGCGUGGAAAUGCUGUGUGCUGAAAGCUAAAAAAAAGCAAUGCAAAAGUUGCAAAAUUGUUGCAAUACAAAUACUAUGAAUGUGCUUCAACAAUUAAAAUUGCAUUCAUGCUGAAUAAGGCUAGAAAAACUGUCUUAAAUUGCAAAAAAAAUGGAUAAGGAAGAAAACUACCUUAAAACAGAAAAGUGAGAAGUGGCAUAAGUUUAAGUUGAAGUACUAGAAGUAGUUUGAUAAUAGGUAGUUGUAGUAGUGAUAUUAGUAGUCAUGUAAGCAGUAGAAGUAGUUUUAGAAUAGAAGAAUUAGAAGUCAAAGCAGUAGAGCUCGUGGUAUAAGUGAGAGUAGAAGUUAAAAAAAAUAUUAAGAGAAGCAAGAGCAGUGGAGGUAGAAGUGAAGAUACAAGUUAAAGUGAUAUAAGUAGUAAUUGGGUGCGCGCACAGGCUCCUCUUCCUCCUUAACUUGAUUAUGCAUGAAUAAUGAGAGUAAUUUUAAAGUGGGGGAAAUUAAAUGAAUAAAAAUCCUGAGUACACCCCAUAAUGUCCUCAAUGAACCGAAUUUUUGGAGCCCUGAAUGGUUUCUGUAGCUCAAAGUUUGUGGGAGGAGAUAGGGGCUGAAUAUUUUCAGGCGCUCUGGUGAAGGGCUUAAAUGUAACACUCAGUGCUCUGUGUACUAAGCCUGGUUUCAUGUGUCUCAUAUGGCCGUUAGAAGCAGCUUUCCAGUCAGCUGUGUGUCUCCAGGUGCACUAAUUGGUUGCCAUGGCGAAGGAAGAUGUAACACUACAACAGGAGAGAGGAGGCUUGAAGCUGAGGAAAUGACUCUCCAGCUAGGCCCUGAUGGUCAACCUCUGUAUAUAUUCAUGAUAAGGAGCUUGUGAGAACCCCACGACUCUGCUGAACAUAUUGAUACAAUUAAUUAACAAAAUCCUAAAUACACCCCAUAAUGUCCUCAAUGAGCUGAAUUUUUGAAGCCCAGAAUGGUUUCUGUGAGUGGAGAUAGGUGGUGAUGCAGACAUAUAUUAACUGUGUGUACAUGCAGGUCUUUUAGACAGAGACACACGCACACACAUUGUCAGACUGUGUGUGUGUGUGUCUCGUUAAUGAUUUUAUCCUAAACAGCUGUGAGAUCAAAGGCAUUAACUGGCCAACUGUUUGAAUGAGAAGCAGCUGAACUGCAGUGAAUUUAGGGCCUCUGAACUUCUUCACAUAGCGUGAUUUCCUUAAAUCCCAGAAUGAAAAUAAGAACAUUGUGCGAAUCCUCCGCCCUUCAUGAACACAAUGAUGUGUUUUUCAUGUCUGUACUCCAAAAAAUGUGGCCACAACAGCGAGUUAAAAAAGUCUUAGCCUGAGUGACGAUAAGGAUUUUCUUGGAGAAAAAAUACAUUAGGGCUAAUGGGGAGAGAUUUCCGCCUAUUUGGACAGUUGGUCACCUGCUGGCCAAGGGGUACGAUUUAAUGAUUUGAAACCUCUUUGUGAGAAGCAGGACACAUAUACCUCCUCUUCGGCCAAUCAGCACCUACGUUUGUACACUUGCGUUGAUGCGGGACCAUGGAGGUGGCCGGGACAAAUAUGGUAACGUUACUUUGGCAAUUUACCAUAUAUAUUUUAACGACUUUUUAACUUUUGUUUAACACUUGUUGAUGUUAUGGCUAUUUUGUGGAAACGUUUUGUCAGAGAGCGUAAACAAAUCAUGUUAACAAUUACAUUAGAUGACAAGCACGUUAGCAUUGUUUCAGCUGAGUGUUGUCGCUAUGCAUGCAGAUGGGGUGAUCAUUUGACUAAACUUAAUGCUUCUGAAACUGUUCAGUUAGCUUUUGAUUAAAAUCAAACUUUGCAUAUAUCCCUGGUAUGCUAACUAAGAAGUUGGGACUCUAGUCAUGCUAAUGCAGAGGUUAGGUACCACUUUUAGAAAUAUUAGUUGUAAUGAGUUAUUCAAAUUCAAAUAUAAAUUAUUUGAAUUCAUUUUUGGUGCCACAUAUUUUAGCCCAUACAUAAUAUUUGUAACUAACCAUUCUGAAACGUCCUGCUGCAGACAGAGUUGGAAUUUCUUCAGGAGCCUUUCCUCCUGGGUCAGACUUUGAAUCAAACUUGUACAGCAAGCACUAGCACUCUGUGUAAACAUUAGGGCAUGAUACUAUAGUGCAAGCCAUGCCCCCCCUCUUCCAGAGAGACUCGGAGGGGCGCGGCCCAUGCUGAAGGAGGCGUGGACAGGCGCAGCACACAGAAACGGCGUGUUCUCAGUAGAGCUCACUAGAGAGAGUUUUCAGGCUGGCUGAAAUCCAGGGGGAAAAAAGGGGUUUUUAGACUACAAACUUCAAAUUGACUUUUCUGGGACCUCAGAGACCUAUGUGAACCUGCUGAAAAGGAGUAUGAUAUGGGACCUUUAAAUGACUGAUAAGUUGUGUAAAACUUUAAAUCUGUUUUUUUUCUUUUAAACUGCAACAGCUUGAGCUGAUUUGUCUUCAUGGUGAAUAUUGCCGAAGGGUCACAGUCCAGAAAUCAGUAGGCUCUAAAGCAGCCCGUCACUGUGGCUUAGCAUCAAGAAAUCUAGGAGAGUGAAUAUUUCACAAGCCCAUACAAGUCUGCACAAGGUAUUCAUGAGUCUGCCUCCAGUGAAGAGACAAGAGACUGAGUGAAUAAGGGUGUAAAUGAAGAAGGAGAGAAGCUGGAAAGGCAAUGUUGGCAUGCAUUCAAGUUUAUCUAACUGCACUAUUUAAUGACUUUGACUUUGCCAACAACUUAUGUAAUUCAUCAAAAUUCAUCAUGUACUUUUUGCAGAUGAUAAAACUGGGAUAAAAUAAAGAGCUACACUUAUGAGCCAAUUUUCUAAGGAAAUAAAUAAAGUAAAACAAUCAUUCAACACAGAAAAAAAACUCUUUAAAUAUCAGUAAAACAAAGUAUAUCAUUUUUGGGAAUAAACGUAAUAAUAUGCAAACUAGGUUAUCAUUCCAUGGUACAGACUCUGAAGUUGCGGAGGAAAUCAAAUUUCUUGGAGUCACAAUAAACCAUGUGCUCUCAAGGAUCUCACUGUAGAGACAACUUUGCUGUCUAAUUUUGCCCAAUCUUAGUUAUUGUGCCGAGUUAUGGGAGGAAACUCGUGACAUAAAUUAAAAAUCUCAAGAGGUAACACCAACAAUUCCCGAAAUUGCAUUUGCUUAAACUUCAGGAUUUUAUUGCAUUUAAACUUUCAUGCAUCAUGUAUAUUUGGGAGUGUUACCAUUGAAAAUUUGAAAAUAAAAUAUACAUUUUUUUUUUUAAAGUUAAAUACUCUCAUACGCCACUGAAAUAGAAGUGUGUUUCAAUUUAUGGUGUGAUAUCGUGGAUUUUACUUGAGGACUGUCGCAAAAAUGCUGAACAAACAAGUGGCAAGUAAGGAAACAGAGGAGCAAAGUCCUGAUUGAUUGGACCAAAUUUUGGUAUUAAUCCCUGGUAACUUUUUUAUGUUUUGUGUUUUGUUUAUUUCACACUUACAUAUUAAUACUGUGUUCAAACACUUUUAACUUUUUUUUUUUUUUUUUUUUUUUGCACAGAGGACCUAAAGAAAUCAACCAACUGCCCAACUCAGUGAUAGAGACUGUGAUAGAGGGCAGGUAUGUUAGAUUUUUUUCUUCCUUUUUUUGCUUGGACAGGGGAUGAAAGACAAAGGUUUGCACUGUAAAUUUGUAACCACAUUUGUGUACUCUCACCGAACUAAAUAAAAAUGAAUGAAUGAAUAAUGUGCCAGGACUGGAGCAGGUGUCUGUGGUGAGACGCCUCUUCUUCCUGUUUUUAUUUUGGUUUAACUUCCUGUUUUCCUUGUGUUCCUGGUCUGGCUUGACUGUUGUUUCAGAGCACUUUCCCUUCCCCCGGCUGAGGCUGAGAGAGACUCCACAGCAGCCCUCAGUCUCAGCACCGGAGUAUUGUCUUCACUCCUCAGUGGUACAGACGCCUCUCCUGGCCUUCUCCUUGGCUAAGUGCUAGUAAUUUUUGCUCCCUUAGAUUCCUUGUAUGCCUUCUCACUUCCAACUCCUCUGUUUUCUCCACAGUGUCUCCAGCCCACACAACAGCCAGCCAGCCAACCGGACUUUCUCAUGCCUUUUUCCUUGAGUUGGACAUGAAAAUUGCAUCUUUAGUUUAGUAUCUGUCUCCGUGUCUGCUUCGGGGUCCACAAAAUACACCACACGCCACAGUGUCAACAUGAAAUGCUAUUAAAUGCACCUUCUGAAAUGCUUCCUCUUUUGAGUCCCCUGAAACUUUCAGAGUGCGGUGGUGUCUGUGGACAUGGAGGCAGAUAUAUCUCUUUGCUAGACUUUCUCAACAUACAUGGUGCAUUUUGCAUACCCAAAUGUUAAUGAGGUGUAAUUCCUUCAACAGAAACCAUUCCUUAAACCAUUCCUCUACUUUCCUGUUGUUCAUCUUACCCAGUUUGGCUAGCAAAGGAGCUGUGCUAAUAACGGUCUAAGGCCCAUAUGGCUCACAUGCUCACAGUGAGCCCAUGUUUCUGUACAGGAAUCAAGUCAUAGCUGUAAAAUGUACAACUGACAGGUCAUGUAACAUUGAAGGCAGUAUGUUUCAAUACAUACUGUGGGGACACAGAAAGCCUGCAGCGUGAGUGGCUCAAGCGAACAGGGAGACCUGAAUUAUUAUCCGGUCUGCCUCCAAUAGUAGCAUUGAGAAAAUGGAAAAUACUGCACUCUGCUGUUGCACUGCAACAUUGUCAGUAAAUAAUCACCAUAAUCUGUUAAAAACAUAAAAGUAGUCUCAAGGACUUCGAUUGGUUUCUAAAUCAGACUCCUGAAGCCUCUUGGUGGUGCUCAGUCUGUUGAAUUGCUAACAAGCUAACACUCACUCCACCUAGCAAAAGAAAAAGGGGGGAGAUGAGGCAGACUGUUAGUUUCCUCACUAACGGCUGUGAACCUGUCUGUCAAUCAGUGCAAAACAUGUAACCUAAAUACAUUUAAAACUAAUGAGAUAUAAGAUCAUUUACUGUCUAUCAUGUGUGGAUAGAGAAAACUGCACAACAAUUGUUUUGUGAGCCAGGCUGCCAACAAUACAGUUUUUCAUGUAAGGAUGGGCUUCCUACAAUGGAUGUAUAUGUGGCUCCCAGGGCUUCUGCAGUCAGCCACAAGACACCUAGAGAAAUGCAUUUUUAAGCAUUGUCAGCAUUGGUUUAACCGAGACCUGAGGUUGCAGUUUGAUUAACAUGCAAUGCUUUGGUGCCUCUGGAGCUUUGUCAUGAAUGCUCUCAGGGCACUGCAAAUGUCUUUCAUGGUCUCAAAACACUUUAAUCAGGAAAGGCCAUACAUGGUAUUGCUGAACAACUGCAGUGUGUGGGAUUUUAUCUUCUUAAGGCUGCAGUCCAACUAGUUAAUGCUCUGACUGUAAACACGUCUUCUAUAUGAAGGAUAUAAAAAUAAAUAAACCUUGUUGAAUUAAUAGGAUUUUAUAUCUCACGCGCAGGUCUGAACAAUCUGUGAUUCAAGGUGUUAUACAUUAGGGAAAAUAAGCUUCACACGUAAAUAAGCCCGGAGUAGUUUCAGAGUAGUAUUUGACUUAUGCCUCCAACAUCACAACACUGUUACCCUUAUGGGAGUCAAGAAAAACCCAUAUUAACUUACCUGCUUUCUUCAAAAAAGAAAAGACCUAACACUUGAAAACAGCUCUUUUCGAAUGUAGGGAUAUUUCCGGUCAUUAAAAACAGAUUGUUUUCAUUCUUAAAGGUCACUGAGUUGUUUUUGACUCAGUAUGUGGGACAGGGGUGAGAUCACAAUGUCAGCCGCUCCAGAUGGUAUCCAUUACACAGCACUCCAGGCUGAUGCUGUUUACUUAAACCACUUCCAGCUCUGACAACUGCUUUUUGUUAGUGAAGACAGGGGCAGAUGUGGAUGACCAGUCACGGAAAGGCAGAUCCCUGUGGUCUAAGAUUUUUUAAUCAAGCUAUUUUUAUCUAAUGUUUAUCUUUGAAACAUGUCAGCACAUGUGCUUUAUUGAAACAAUCCCAUAGAUCAUUUGAGUCAAAUUAAAGUUGCAACCAAAACUCAGACAACGUAAACCCCCAAAUUUC